AUUGAACGCUGGCGGCAGGCCUAACACAUGCAAGUCGAGCGGAUGAAGGGAGCUUGCUCCUGGAUUCAGCGGCGGACGGGUGAGUAAUGCCUAGGAAUCUGCCUGGUAGUGGGGGAUAACGUCCGGAAACGGGCGCUAAUACCGCAUACGUCCUGAGGGAGAAAGUGGGGGAUCUUCGGACCUCACGCUAUCAGAUGAGCCUAAGUCGGAUUAGCUAGUUGGUGGGGUAAAGGCCUACCAAGGCGACGAUCCGUAACUGGUCUGAGAGGAUGAUCAGUCACACUGGAACUGAGACACGGUCCAGACUCCUACGGGAGGCAGCAGUGGGGAAUAUUGGACAAUGGGCGAAAGCCUGAUCCAGCCAUGCCGCGUGUGUGAAGAAGGUCUUCGGAUUGUAAAGCACUUUAAGUUGGGAGGAAGGGCGGUAAGUUAAUACCUUGCUGUUUUGACGUUACCAACAGAAUAAGCACCGGCUAACUUCGUG
rnacentral:rRNA from 1 species